UGCUCACUGGCUUAGUUGGUAACACGCUAGGCUGGCAAAGUCGACGUUGAAGGUUCGAUUCCUUUGAUGGGCAA